rnacentral:rRNA from 1 species
AUACGGAGGGUGCAAGCGUUAUCCGGAUUCAUUGGGUUUAAAGGGUCCGUAGGCGGUUUGGUAAGUCAGUGGGUAAAUCCCCCGGCUCAACCGGGGAGGUGCCAUUGAAACUGCCAUGACUAGGAUUGCAUUGAGGCAUCUGGAAUGUGUGGUGUAGCGGUGAAAUGCGCAGAUAUCACACAGAACACCGAUUGCGAAGGCAGGGUGCUAAAUGCAUAUCGUCGCUGAUGGACGAAAGCGUGGGGAGCAAACAGGAUUAGAAACCCUAGUAGUCC